AACAGACUCAAGUGAAGAAAGUUUUUGAGGUGUUGGAUUCUGAAGGCUGCUUCAGAUCUAUCUUGGGACCUCCUGAGAGAUUUCCAGAGAUUCUCAUCAGCUUGUCAUAAAAGAUCUUGCCAAGCUGAGAGGCCUCCACCUGGACUGACAUCACAGUCUCACAUAAUAAACAAGAGUCCUGUCCACUAAACCCUUUCAAGCUGUAUGUUUUAAUCAAGUUUUCAGUUGAUGCAAAGAUUUUGGUGAAAAUCCCACUUUGAAAAAAUCACACUGGCUAUCUACUGGCAAGGAGACCCAAAACAGGCAAGGAAGAUGGAUUUGUUUCAGCCCAUCCUUCUGCCAUCCUUAUGUCAGAACCCACGAGUUUCCUCACCAACUGCCUCCCGGUUCUGCUGGCACAGCCAUCUGUAGUGUCUGGAGGUGGAAACCUCAGAGCGCUCCCUCAGCUGCCUUGGUCCUUGGUCAUGUCAGCUCUCCAGUCACCUCCACUCAGCAGCAUCUACUGGCUUUUUGGGUACCUUCAGAAACAAGGAAGUCAGAGGUGCUCUGUAGAAUAUUCCCCUUUUUGUCCUUCACUGCACUGGAAACUUAAGUAUUUGGCCAGAAGGAGGGAAGGAACCACAAAAAGGGGCCACAAUGCAGCCAGAGUAAACAUGAGCUUCACAGAGGCAAACCAUCUUGCUCCAGCAGUACUGGUAAGAGAAACAAAGUUGGACUUGGCUCUCCUGUGAUAGGCCGUGCGCAGGGCAAGCCAAACAAAUGAGUAAAACUGAGCCCAUUGCUGGGUGUCCACCAAAAAUUGGAUUUAGAACUGUAAACCUCAAUAAAUAAAUAAA